rnacentral:tRNA from 1 species
AUCUCUGUAGCUUAAUCAAGAGCGCAACACUGAAGAUGUUGAGGCGGGCGAGCCCCGGAGAUA